rnacentral:rRNA from 1 species
AGCAGUCGCCGCGGGAACACAGAGGGUGCGAGCGUUAAUCGGAUUUACUGGGCGUAAAGCGUGCGUAGGCGGCUUCUUAAGUCGGAUGUGAAAUCCCUGAGCUUAACUUAGGAAUUGCAUUCGAUACUGGGAAGCUAGAGUAUGGGAGAGGAUGGUAGAAUUCCAGGUGUAGCGGUGAAAUGCGUAGAGAUCUGGAGGAAUACCGAUGGCGAAGGCAGCCAUCUGGCCUAAUACUGACGCUGAGGUACGAAAGCAUGGGGAGCAAACAGGAUUAGAUACCCCCGUAGUCCCUGUCUCUUAUAA